GGGAUAACAGUUGGAAAUGGCUGCUAAUACCGCAUAAGCGCACGGCAUCGCAUGAUGCAGUGUGAAAAACUCCGGUGGUAUAAGAUGGACCCGCGUUGGAUUAGCUAGUUGGUGAGGUAACGGCCCACCAAGGCGACGAUCCAUAGCCGACCUGAGAGGGUGACCGGCCACAUUGGGACUGAGACACGGCCCAAACUCCUACGGGAGGCAGCAGUGGGGAAUAUUGCACAAUGGGCGAAAGCCUGAUGCAGCGACGCCGCGUGAGCGAAGAAGUAUUUCGGUAUGUAAAGCUCUAUCAGCAGGGAAGAUAAUGACGGUACCUGACUAAGAAGCACCGGCUAAAUACGUGCCAGCAGCCGCGGUAAUACGUAUGGUGCAAGCGUUAUCCGGAUUUACUGGGUGUAAAGGGAGCGCAGGCGGUGCGGCAAGUCUGAUGUGAAAGCCCGGGGCUCAACCCCGGUACUGCAUUGGAAACUGUCGUACUAGAGUGUCGGAGGGGUAAGCGGAAUUCCUAGUGUAGCGGUGAAAUGCGUAGAUAUUAGGAGGAACACCAGUGGCGAAGGCGGCUUACUGGACGAUAACUGACGCUGAGGCUCGAAAGCGUGGGGAGCAAACAGGAUUAGAUACCCUGGUAGUCCACGCCGUAAGCGAUGAAUACUAGGUGUUGGGAAGCAUUGCUUCUCGGUGCCGUCG
rnacentral:rRNA from 1 species